rnacentral:rRNA from 1 species
GACUAACGCUGGCGGCGUGUCUUAGACAUGCAAGUCGAACGGGUUGCUAUUUUGUAGCAAUACAGAAUAGCGCUAGUGGCGAACGGGUGAGUAAUACCUAAAUAACUUCCCUUAGAGUGGAGCAUAACUCCGAGAAAUCGGUGCUAAUUCUCCAAUUCUCGUUGAACAUAAGUUUUUCGAGGAAAGGCUUCGGUCGCUCUAAGAUAGGUUUUUGGCCUAUCAGUUUGUUGGUGAGAUAACAGCUCACCAAGACUAUAACGGGUAGGGGGUGUGAGAGCAUGACCCCCCACAUGGGAACUGCGACACGGUCCCAACUCCUACGGGAGGCAGCAGUCUAGAAAUUUGGGCAAUGGGCGAAAGCCUGACCCAGCGACGCCGCGUGAGGGAUGAAGUCCCUCGGGAUGUAAACCUCUGUUGAGGGGAACGAUAAUGACGGUACCCCUCGAGGAAGCCUCGGCUAACUCCGUGCCAGCAGCCGCGGUAAUACGGAGGAGGCAAGCGUUGUCCGGAAUCACUGGGCGUAAAGGGUGUGUAGGUGUCCUGAUGGGUCAGGCGUGAAAUCCAACGGCUUAACUGUUGAAGUGCGUCUGAAACUAUCGGGAUUGAGGACAUGAGGGGAGAGUGGAACUCGCGGUGUAGCGGUAGAAUGCGUGGAUAUCGCGAGGAAUGCCGAUGGCGAAGGCGGCUCUCUAGUAUGCCCGAGAGGAGCGAAAACCCGGGAGACACGGUCCUGACACUGAAACACGAAAGCUGGGGGAGCAAACGGGAUUAGAUACCCCGGUAGUCUCAGCCUUAAACGAUGUACACUUGGCAUGCGCCAGUAUGGUACGUGCCGUAGGUAACCUGUUAAGUGUACCGCCUGGGGAGACGCUCGCAAGGGU